rnacentral:rRNA from 1 species
CAGUCGCCGCGGGAAUACGAAGGGGGCUAGCGUUGCUCGGAAUUACUGGGCGUAAAGGGAGCGUAGGCGGACAUUUAAGUCAGGGGUGAAAUCCCAGAGCUCAACUCUGGAACUGCCUUUGAUACUGGGUGUCUUGAGUGUGAUAGAGGUAUGUGGAACUCCGAGUGUAGAGGUGAAAUUCGUAGAUAUUCGGAAGAACACCAGUGGCGAAGGCGACAUACUGGAUCAUUACUGACGCUGAGGCUCGAAAGCGUGGGGAGCAAACAGGAUUAGAUACCCGAGUAGUCCCUGUCUCUUAUAC